CGCGAGAUGGAGCGCCGUCGUGGCGAAGCGAGAUGUUUUUUCGAGAAGGGGAGGGGGAAGAUCGAAUGCAUUCACGUCCUGAGACGUGAUCACGACGAAGAUCGCUCGGAUGUCUCCGCGAUGUCGCUCGAUAAGUUUCGGAGCAUCUCGGUUCCGCUCGGUGGAGCGAGCGGUGGUCGUGGAGGGUCGACCGGUCGGUGAUUCGAUUCAGUCCUCGUACGUCCGCGCAACAGUUCGGAUAUCCCAUCGUGUAACAGGGAUUCGGCCUUCCUAAUUGGAGGAGUUUGUGUCGAGAGAGUUGAACGAGAUAAACUGAUACAAGUGCGCGGCGAGAUAAGCCGCGCGACUCGGCGGCGGCGGCGGCCCCUGCCCACCCGCCUGUAAUUGAACGAAUUCAAAAGUGAAGAGAGAGAGAGAGAGAGAGAGAGCCUCGCGCGGACGGACGGAUUGCCUCGUUGAUUGCCGAUUCCAAGGAGUUAGAGACGAGUUAGAGACAUCCAUCUCGGCGGACAUCCAAGGUAACAACAAGAUCUAGAAAACAGCUGGCACGAGCGAAGGUCACCGGCCAUGGAAUAUAAUUAGUCCGACACUUAUGGAACGUCAGGCCAGCUAUGGUUCGCAGUGGCCGCGACGAGGUAGACGAGGUAGCCUAGGCACUUGGAGAUCGGCCUUUGUGCGACACGUGUGGACAACGUUAUUUCCUUCUUAAAUACGGGUCCUUGGUCUGAAUCAUGUGCCGCUGCUUACAUCGCCGUAAAAGGAACGGAUCAGGAAGGAAACGACCAGCGACCAUAGUCAAUAUCGGGGGAAAAAAAAGAAAAAAAUAUUUCCGAGUAUAUCGGCUAUUUUUCAGAAGGCAAGAAACUUCCUAGUAUCCCAUUAUGGGAUACUUCUCGAUCGGAUCGAUCAUUCGAGGAAGCCUUGGACGAACCUCUGGAUUUUCCAAAUAGGAGGCAAUCGAUGGGGAAACUACGUGGUGGUAAUUGCGACAGUUGUAAUUACCAGUGUAUUAACCAGUUGCAAAUGUCGAACGAGCCAGCCUCGAGCCAGCCGCAAGGUUUCCCCCGUAAAUAGGGGAAGAAGAUUGUCCAAUUAACUGUCUCGUUUAAUUGAAUCUUAUUUCCUUUUCACUUGGUCCAGUUUCAUUGGGGCUUCUGCGCUUUAUCGCGUGAGUCGAAUGUAAUGCACAGCUCGGAGGUCGGAAGCUUGGCCGAAGAACAACCCACGACAAAAGAGGGAUCGAGUUGAACGUCGCGGGAUAUUUUUGGCCAUACUCCCGCCCACUCCAGCCUUCGACAGCUCGCAAAUUGUCGUCGUCGAGUGGCGCGUGAAUAUCGUGGAAACGGACUGUGCGGACCGUUUAAUGCUCGUUUAGACGCGCAGGCUAUUCUUUCAAAUUUUUUCAGACAAUUCGUUUUGCUGCGGUGGAACGAGGAAGAGGAGCAAGGAGGGAUGAAGAUGGAGGAAAGAGAGAGAGAGAGG